rnacentral:rRNA from 1 species
UACGAAGGGGGCUAGCGUUGUUCGGAAUUACUGGGCGUAAAGCGAGCGUAGGUUGCUCGACAAGUCAGUGGUGAAAGCCCAGAGCUCAACUCUGGAACUGCCAUUGAAACUGUCGAGCUGGAAUGUCAGAGGGGAUAGCGGAAUUCCAAAUGUAGGGGUGAAAUCCGUAGAUAUUUGGAGGAACACCGGUGGCGAAGGCGGCUAUCUGGAUGACUAUUGACACUGAGGCUCGAAAGCGUGGGGAUCAAACAGG